rnacentral:rRNA from 1 species
GACGAACGCUGGUGGCGUGCCUAAUACAUGCAAGUCGAACGCAGUGGGGACGGGUGAGUAACACGUGGGUAACCUCCCAUCAGAGGGGAUAACACUUGGAAACAGGUGCUAAACCGAUACUGAUGGAUGGCCCCGCGGUUCAUUAGCUAGUUGGUGAGGUAACGGCUCACAAAGGCCACGAUGCAUAGGCGACGUGGGGGGGUGAUCGGGCAGACGGGGACUGAGACACGGCCCAGCCUCCGACGGGAGGCAGGAGGAGGGAAUGUGCGGCAAUGGGCGAAAGGCUGACCGAGCAACGCCGCGUGAGUGAAGGUGGGUUUCGGAUCGUAAAACUCUGUUGUUAGGGAAGCGGUAUCUAACCAGAAAGCCACGGCUAACUACGUGCCAGCCGCCGCGGUAAUAC